AACACUCCUUUCCAUUCCGAACAGGACAGUUAAGCUCUACAGCGCCGAUGGUACUUCACGGGAGACUGUGCGGGAGAGUAGGACGUUGCCAGGU
rnacentral:rRNA from 1 species